GCAGACACAUUCCAGCCAAUCAGCAGCAGACCCUCCCUCCCAGACCCUCCCACCUCGUGGACAGCAUCCAUUGUGACGCUGCAUUCUUAGUGAGCUGUCCAGGAGGUGGGAGGGUCUGGGAGGGAGGGUCUGCUGCUGAUUGGCUGGAAUGUGUGUG